rnacentral:piRNA from 1 species
UUGAACAAUUGGGAAUGAAGAUA